GUCUUGGGACUGUAGACGUCCCGGUCCCGGUCAGGUUGUCUUGGAACUGUAGACGUCCCGGUCCCGGUCAGGUUGUCUUGGAACUGUAGACGUCCCGGUCAGGUUGUCUUGGGACUGUAGACGUCCCGGUCAGGUUGUCUUGGGACUGUAGACGUCCCGGUCCCGGUCAGGUUGUUUUGGGACUGUAGAUGUCCCGGUCAGGUUGUCUUGGAACUGUAGACGUCCCGGUCAGGUUGUUUUGGGACUGUAGAUGUCCCGGUCCCGGUCAGGUUGUCUUGGGACUGUAGACGUCCCGGUCCCGGUCAGGUUGUUUUGGGACUGUAGAUGUCCCGGUCCCGGUCAGGUUGUCUUGGGACUGUAGACGUCCUGGUCAGGUUGUCUUGGGAC